CAUUACAGCAAUGAUAAUGCAAACAUAGGGAACUAAAUUGGGUGAUUUGGAUAAUUAAUUCAAAGACAAGACCACUAAACACACUGACUGGACCUUUGCUGUGAGGUUUAAAAUAUUUAGCUGCUAAUCCAAAUUACUUCUUCAUGGAGGAAAUCAUCAGUAUUUAUCUUGAGAGGAUGCCACCUAACUUUUGGCAACUUGUGAUGAGCUGGUGUUGCUUCUCAGAACUGAAGUCACCAGUUGGAUUACCAGCCCUUCUCAAAAUGACUUCACAAAAGUCCAGUCAAAUCUCAGUCUUGUCUGGGUUGUCAACAGACUCACUAGUGUAUGCAGUCCGUGUUUGUCCCAAGAGCCAGGAGGAGCCGGCAUGGUGAGAGGCUUGAAGGGUGAAAGAGUAGACGCUCCCUGGAAACAAACCUGCCACAGUUACCCCUCUGGAGGAGAGGGACAUGGGGACCCUGACAUUUCUUUUAACACCGCUCUGGCUCUGUGUGCCCUUUUUGCCCUCUGACUUCCUGCUUGCAUCUGAUUCACCUUCACCCGACUCUCCAUUUGCCUCCUCUUGGUACUGGAGGAAUACCUCAAAAGAAGAAUGAUUAAGUGAGUUCAAGGGUGAGAGGUCACUCCAACGAAGCUCUACGUGUUGCUCUGUCACCUGAACCACGACAAAGGAGAAUGAGGCAGGGACUGGAGGGGCUGUGAAAGAGAGAGAAACAUAGCACCAUCAUAGCAACUAGAGGUGGAAAUAGGGGAAAGAGAUGCUCAAAAUUUAUAUGGUUUGGGAUAACUAGUAAGUGCUCUGGUUAAUAAAAGUAUAUUACACAAGUUAUUUACUCUGGUACUGGCAGAUGAAAGGUAGAGGGAUGCUACAAAAGAAUGGAGUGAGAAAGUGUCCUUGUCCUGUGGCAUUCCUCUGAAGGGCAAAACAGUCUGUCUGAUUGUCUGGCAGCGAUGACUUGAUAGUGUUCGUUACGUUAUAGGUUGAGCCAUCAGACCAGAGAAGUUGUCCCUCCUCCUGUGGAGUGACCCAAGAGAGAAAGUAUCAACAACAAAACUCCUCUUUAAGGAGUAGCUGCUGCCACGGGGCUUUUCCUGUUUAGAAAGUAAACUACUUUGCCAGAAAAUCUGCUUCAAGUAGUGGCGGAUAACAUUACACAAUCGUAUAUCCUUUGGACAUUUUCUCAAACACAAAAUCAUAAUUCUCUAUAGGAAAUAAUUUGUCAUUUCCUUUGUGUAGGUCCUUUACAUGAAAUGUAUGUAAAAAAAUAUAAAUUUUCUUGCUCUGUAUACACUUAUACUCUGGCAGGUAUUGUGUAGGUGAUGUGAUGUCAGUGCAGUUAAGUUUAAUUACACUGUAAGAUAUUUUUAA